GUAAUGGUGUCUUUAGACACCACCCUCUUUUUGAAAUUCUUUAUUU
rfam:Picea glauca, whole genome shotgun sequence.